CAAAAAGCUAUCUGACAGUGGUUUACUGGUAGAAGAAUAUAAUGUAAAGGGCAAAUAUAUUUCUCUAUGUCUUUAAACAGAUGACAAUUUUAUCUCCCCUCCCAACUUUCAGCCUUGGUGUAACUUGUUCAGCCUUCCUCUUGUUAUUAAUCAUCACUUUAUAACAUCACUGUUGAGAGCUCAGGCACCCUUUUCUACACCAGGUCUACCUAGAUGGUUAUAUGACCUAAGUCCCCAGUCCACAUGCUCAACAUGAAGACCUAAUCAGAAGACUGGAGGCUGAUGAGCCACAACCCUUCCCACCUCCCCACUGCUUACCCAUGUAUUCCCAAUAGGGAAGCAGCCUGAUAUGAUGUUUCCAUCAUAUCAGAGCACAGGAUUUAUUGCCUAAUGCCAUUGUCACCCCUUGCUCAAGUGUGUGACAUGAACCUCAGUUUUCUCACCUACAUCUCCUUUGCUGUUUGGCUGUAAGGACUAAAAGAAUGGACGGAAAUUACUGGGCCUAUUAAGGCAUUCGAUGACUGAUGGCUCUUCCAUGGUCCAAUGGAUAAUCUCAUGCCUCCUACUCAAGAAGUGUCUCCAAAGGUUUCUAUGAAUUCUCAAGCCUCCAGGAAACUGAUUAAUGGUUAAUUGAGCAACUUGUUCAGUGCCAUGUGAUAAAUUAAUGACCAAGUAGAAAUCAACCCACUCAACCCCAGAACAUCAAUCAAAUGUUUCCCUAUGUUUCUAGUCUUACUGGCAUCUGAGUCACAUCCAAAUCCCAGGCUCCGAUGUUCAGUCUUUGCUGAAUUCCUGACUUGCAGCUACCAGCUACAGAGCUUGGAAGUGAUGACCUCAGCAGGCCUGGCCUUUCACCUUUCUACCUCCAAAGAGCUUUUGAAGGUGCAUAAGAUGCAGUCUUGGGUUCUGAGACAGUUAACCCUUUGUCAUGAUUAUGCUAUAGCCC
rnacentral:lncRNA from 1 species